UCCGUGGUGGCUCAGUUGGUAAAGAAUCUGCCUGCAAUGCAGGAGACCCAGGUUUGAUCCCUGGGUGAGGAA
rnacentral:tRNA from 1 species